rnacentral:lncRNA from 1 species
CAUGAUAUUCAAUUUCUGCUACCAACGGAGCAUCAUUUGGAGAUUUUGCAUACGUUGAUGUUGUAGCCGAUAGAAAAAUACCGUUAUUUUGCGUCGAUCUACGAUUUGUCAAUUCUGACGUCUGAAAUUUUAAUCCAUUCAUAAUGUAACCACUAUAAAUUGAAGCAAAACAACUUGGUCCGCGGGAAAUAGAAUUCAAAUCUGUGUCAGAUUGUUGAGCUUCGGACAUGUGUUUCUUAAACCAAUCGGCAAAUUGUUUGAAGUGUAAAUUUUCCAGACGAAGCUGUGUGUGUUUUGGAAACAUAACUUUCAAAUGCUUCAAGUGUUUAUUUCGAUAUGGUUCGACACUUUCAAGAUCAAACAAUAUACAUUGAUGCAACUGUUUCUGUUGUAAAGUAGUCAACGUUAUAUCAGUCGGUGCAUUUAAAAACCCAUCGAUAUACCUAUCUGGGCGAUUUGAUUUAGUCUCGACAUUUUGU